GAUGAACGCUAGCGGCAGGCCUAAUACAUGCAAGGCGAGGGGUUCGCAAGGACACCGUCGUACGGGUGCGUAACGCGUAUGCAACCUACCUAUCACAGGGGGAUAGCCUUUGGAAACAGGGAUUAAUACCGCAUAAAGCAGGGGCUUGGCAUCAAGAUACUGCUAAAGAUUUAUCGGUGAUAGAUGGGCAUGCGUCUGAUUAGUUAGUGGCAGGGUAACGGCCUACCAAGACGAUGAUCAGUAGGGGGCGUCAGAGCGUGGUCCCCCACACUGGCACUGAGAUACGGGCCAGACUCCUACGGGAGGCAGCAGUAGGGAAUAUUGGGCAAUGGGUGCAAGCCUGACCCAGCCAUGCCGCGUGGAGGAAGAAGGUCCUCUGGAUUGUAAACUCCUUUUGUCGGGGAAGAAGAGUCAUCUUGCGAGGUGAUGUGACGGUACCCGAUGAAUAAGCCACGGCUAACUACGUGCCAGCAGCC
rnacentral:rRNA from 1 species